rnacentral:rRNA from 1 species
UGCCCUUCAGCUCGGGAUAACCUGCCGAAAGGUGGGCUAAUACCGGAUGAUGUCCUUGUGGGGAUCCUGCGGGGACCAAAGGGGGCGAGCGUAAGCAGCUUUCACUGAAGGAGGAGCCUGCGUCCGAUUAGCUAGUUGGUGGGGUAAAAGCCUACCAAGGCGACGAUCGGUAGCCGGCCUGAGAGGGCGAUCGGCCACACUGGAACUGGGACACGGUCCAGACUCCUACGGGAGGCAGCAGUGGGGAAUAUUGCGCAAUGGGCGAAAGCCUGACGCAGCGACGCCGCGUGGGUGAUGAAGGCCUUCGGGUCGUAAAGCCCUGUCGGGUGGAACGAAUGACCUGGUGGCAAAUAACCACCGGGUUUGACGGUACCACCGAAGGAAGCCCCGGCUA